GCCUGGGUGGCUCAGUGGUUGAGCGCCUGCCUUUGGCUCAGGUUGUGAUCCCAGGAUCUGGGAUCGAGUCCUGCAUCAGGCU
rnacentral:tRNA from 1 species